rnacentral:rRNA from 1 species
UCGAACGGAGGAUGUACGGUGAAGAGAUUUCGGUCAAAUCAUGUGCAUCUUUAGUGGCGGACGGGUGAGUAACGCGUGGGUAACCUGCCUUACACAGGGGGAUAACACUUAGAAAUAGGUGCUAAUACCGCAUGAGCGCACAGGACCGCAUGAUCGAGUGUGAAAAACUGAGGUGGUGUAAGAUGGACCCGCGUCUGAUUAGCUAGUUGGUGAGGUAACGGUCCACCAAGGCGACGAUCAGUAGCCGGCCUGAGAGGGUGGACGGCCACAUUGGGACUGAGACACGGCCCAAACUCCUACGGGAGGCAGCAGUGGGGGAUAUUGGACAAUGGGGGGAACCCUGAUCCAGCGACGCCGCGUGAGUAAAGAAGUAUCUCGGUAUGUAAAGCUCUAUCAACAAGGAAGAAAGAAAUGACGGUACCUGAGUAAGAAGCCCCGGCUAACUACGUGCCACCAACCGCGGUUAUACGUAGGGGGCAAGCGUUAUCCGGAGUUAACGGGUGUAAAGGGAGCGUAGACGGUGAUGUAAGUCUGGAGUGAAAGGCGGGGGCCCAACCCCCGGACUGCUCCCCCAACUAUGUGACUGGAGUGCAGGAGAGCAGACCGGACUUCCUAGUGUAGCGGUGAA